rnacentral:rRNA from 1 species
CCUGUUUAACAAAAACAUGUCUUUUUGAGUUAUUUUUAAAGUCUGACCUGCCCACUGAAAUUAUUUAAAUGGCCGCAGUAUUCUAACUGUGCAAAGGUAGCAUAAUCAUUAGUCUUUUAAUUGAAGGCUGGUAUGAACGGUUGGACGAGGUAUAAGCUGUUUCAUGUAGAUUUAUAAUAGAAUUUUAUAUUUUAGUUAAAAAGCUAAAAUUAAAUUAAAAGACGAGAAGACCCUAUAAAUCUUUAUACUUUAUGUUGUUUAAAUUUUUUAGACUUGGUUUAUUUUUAUGUUUUAAAGUAUUUUGUUGGGGUGAUAUUAAAAUUUAAUGAACUUUUAAUUAUUAAAAAUCAUUAAUUUAUGAGUUAUUGAUCCACUAAUAGUGAUUAUAAGAUUAAGUUACUUUAGGGAUAACAGCGUAAUUUUUUUGGAGAGUUCAUAUCGAUAAAAAAGUUUGCGACCUCGAUGUUGGAUUAAG